GAGGGUGUAGCUAAGUGGUAGAGCGCAUGCUUAGCAUGCACGAGGUCCUGGGUUCUAUCUCCAGUAUUUCUA
rfam:Camelus ferus unplaced genomic scaffold scaffold390, whole genome shotgun sequence.